UACAGAGGUCCCAAGCGUUGUUCGGAUUCAUUGGGCGUAAAGGGUGCGCAGGCGGCGAGGCAAGUCGGACGUGAAAUCCCGGGGCUUAACCCCGGAACUGCGUUCGAUACUGCUUUGCUUGAGGACUGGAGAGGAGACUGGAAUUCCUGGUGUAGCAGUGAAAUGCGUAGAUAUCAGGAGGAACGCCAAUGGCGAAGGCAAGUCUCUGGACAGUUCCUGACGCUCAUGCACGAAGGCCAGGGGAGCAAACGGG
rnacentral:rRNA from 1 species